AGUGAACGCUGGCGGUAGGCCUAACACAUGCAAGUCGAACGGCAGCACAGUAAGAGCUUGCUCUUACGGGUGGCGAGUGGCGGACGGGUGAGGAAUACAUCGGAAUCUACUUUUUCGUGGGGGAUAACGUAGGGAAACUUACGCUAAUACCGCAUACGACCUACGGGUGAAAGCAGGGGAUCUUCGGACCUUGCGCGAUUGAAUGAGCCGAUGUCGGAUUAGCUAGUUGGCGGGGUAAAGGCCCACCAAGGCGACGAUCCGUAGCUGGCCUGAGAGGAUGAUCAGCCACACUGGAACUGAGACACGGUCCAGACUCCUACGGGAGGCAGCAGUGGGGAAUAUUGGACAAUGGGCGCAAGCCUGAUCCAGCCAUACCGCGUGGGUGAAGAAGGCCUUCGGGUUGUAAAGCCCUUUUGUUAGGAAAGAAAAGCAGCAGGUUAAUACCCCGCUGUUCUGACGGUACCCAAAGAAUAAGCACCGGCUAACUUCGUG
rnacentral:rRNA from 1 species